rnacentral:rRNA from 1 species
GAACGCUGGCGGUCGGCCUAACACAUGCAAGUCGAACGGCAGCACAGUAAGAGCUUGCUCUUACGGGUGGCGAGUGGCGGACGGGUGAGGAAUACAUCGGAAUCUACUUUUUCGUAGGGGAUAACGUAGGGAAACUUACGCUAAUACCGCAUACGACCUACGGGUGAAAGCAGGGGAUCUUCGGACCUUGCGCGAUUGAAUGAGCCGAUGUCGGAUUAGCUAGUUGGCGGGGUAAAGGCCCACCAAGGCGACGAUCCGUAGCUGGUCUGAGAGGAUGAUCAGCCACACUGGAACUGAGACACGGUCCAGACUCCUACGGGAGGCAGCAGUGGGGAAUAUUGGACAAUGGGCGCAAGCCUGAUCCAGCCAUACCGCGUGGGUGAAGAAGGCCUUCGGGUUGUAAAGCCCUUUUGUUGGGAAAGAAAAGCAGCAGGUUAAUACCCCGCUGUUCUGACGGUACCCAAAGAAUAAGCACCGGCUAACUUCGUG